rnacentral:rRNA from 1 species
GAUGAACGCUGGCGGCGUGCCUAAUACAUGCAAGUCGAGCGAACAGACGAGGAGCUUGCUCCUCUGACGUUAGCGGCGGACGGGUGAGUAACACGUGGAUAACCUACCUAUAAGACUGGGAUAACUUCGGGAAACCGGAGCUAAUACCGGAUAAUAUAUUGAACCGCAUGGUUCAAUAGUGAAAGGCGGUUUUGCUGUCACUUAUAGAUGGAUCCGCGCCGCAUUAGCUAGUUGGUAAGGUAACGGCUUACCAAGGCGACGAUGCGUAGCCGACCUGAGAGGGUGAUCGGCCACACUGGAACUGAGACACGGUCCAGACUCCUACGGGAGGCAGCAGUAGGGAAUCUUCCGAGAUGGGCGAAAGCCUGACGGAGCAACGCCGCGUGAGUGAUGAAGGUCUUCGGAUCGUAAAACUCUGUUAUUAGGGAAGAACAAAUGUGUAAGUAACUAUGCACGUCUUGACGGUACCUAAUCAGAAAGCCACGGCUAACUACGUG